rnacentral:rRNA from 1 species
GUUGUAUGGUUAAGUGACUAAGCGUACACGGUGGAUGCCUAGGCAGUCAGAGGCGAUGAAGGACGUACUAACUUGCGAUAAGCGCAGAUAAGGCAGUAAGAGCCGUUUGAGUCUGCGAUUUCCGAAUGGGGAAACCCAACUGCAUAAGCAGUUACUGUUAACUGAAUACAUAGGUUAACAGAGCAAACCGGGGGAACUGAAACAUCUAAGUACCCCGAGGAGAAGAAAUCAACCGAGAUUCCGGUAGUAGCGGCGAGCGAACCUGGAUUAGCCCUUAAGCACUCGGUGAAGUAGGUGAACAAGCUGGAAAGCUUGGCGAUACAGGGUGAUAGCCCCGUAACCGACGCUUCAUCGAGCGUGAAAUCGAGUAGGGCGGGACACGUGAUAUCCUGUCUGAAUAUGGGGGGACCAUCCUCCAAGGCUAAAUACUCCUGACUGACCGAUAGUGAACCAGUACCGUGAGGGAAAGGCGAAAAGAACCCCUGUGAGGGGAGUGAAAUAGAACCUGAAACCGUGUACGUACAAGCAGUAGGAGCACCUUCGUGGUGUGACUGCGUACCUUUUGUAUAAUGGGUCAGCGACUUAUAUUCAGUGGCAAGGUUAACCGUAUAGGGGAGCCGUAGCGAAAGCGAGUCUUAACUGGGCGCUCAGUCUCUGGAUAUAGACCCGAAACCGGGUGAUCUAGCCAUGGGCAGGUUGAAGGUUGAGUAACAUCAACUGGAGGACCGAACCGACUAAUGUUGAAAAAUUAGCGGAUGACUUGUGGCUAGGGGUGAAAGGCCAAUCAAACUCGGAGAUAGCUGGUUCUCCCCGAAAGCUAUUUAGGUAGCGCCUCGGACGAAUACUACUGGGGGUAGAGCACUGUUAAGGCUAGGGGGUCAUCCCGACUUACCAACCCUUUGCAAACUCCGAAUACCAGUAAGUACUAUCCGGGAGACACACGGCGGGUGCUAACGUCCGUCGUGGAGAGGGAAACAACCCAGACCGCCAGCUAAGGUCCCAAAGUAUUGCUAAGUGGGAAACGAUGUGGGAAGGCUCAGACAGCUAGGAUGUUGGCUUAGAAGCAGCCAUCAUUUAAAGAAAGCGUAAUAGCUCACUAGUCGAGUCGGCCUGCGCGGAAGAUGUAACGGGGCUAAGCAAUACACCGAAGCUGCGGCAAUGCCUUUUAGGUAUUGGGUAGGGGAGCGUUCUGUAAGCCGUUGAAGGUG